CCUACGGGGGGCAGCAGUGAGGAAUAUUGGUCAAUGGACGAGAGUCUGAACCAGCCAAGUAGCGUGAAGGAUGACUGCCCUAUGGGUUGUAAACUUCUUUUAUAUGGGAAUAAAAUGUUCCACGUGUGGGAUGUUGUAUGUACCAUAUGAAUAAGGAUCGGCUAACUCCGUGCCAGCAGCCGCGGUAAUACGGAGGAUCCGAGCGUUAUCCGGAUUUAGUGGGUUUAAAGGGUGCGUAGGUGGAUUGUUAAGUCAGUUGUGAAAGUUUGCGGCUCAACCGUAAAACUGCAGUUGAAACUGGUAGUCUUGAGUACAGUAGAGGUGGGCGGAAUUCGUGGUGUAGCGGUGAAAUGCUUAGAUAUCACGAAGAACUCCGAUUGCGAAGGCAGUUCACUGGACUGCAACUGACACUGAGGCUCGAAAGUGUGGGUAUCAAACAUGAUUAGAUACCCCUGUAGUC
rnacentral:rRNA from 1 species